rnacentral:rRNA from 1 species
CCUACGGGAGGCAGCAGUGAGGAAUAUUGGUCAAUGGACGAGCGUCUGAACCAGCCAAGUAGCGUGAAGGAUGACUGCCCUAUGGGUUGUAAACUUCUUUUAUAUGGGAAUAAAAUGUUCCACGUGUGGGAUUUUGUAUGUACCAUAUGAAUAAGGAUCGGCUAACUCCGUGCCAGCAGCCGCGGUAAUACGGAGGAUCCGAGCGUUAUCCGGGUUUAUUGGGUUUAAAGGGAGCGUAGGUGGAUUGUUAAGUCAGUUGUGAAAGUUUGCGGCUCAACCGUAAAAUUGCAGUUGAAACUGGCAGUCUUGAGUACAGUAGAGGUGGGCGGAAUGCGGGGUGUAGCGGUGAAAUGCUUAGAUAUCACGAAGAACUCCGAUUGCGAAGGCAGUUCACUGGACUGCAACUGACACUGAGGCUCGAAAGUGUGGGUAUCAAACAGGAUUAGAUACCCCAGUAGUC